GACAACUUAGGUUAACAAAACCAAGGGACCUUUAAAGCCCUAAACAGGGAAUMCACCCCCCCUCCUAGUU
rnacentral:tRNA from 1 species